rnacentral:miRNA from 1 species
GAGAAUCUCUGGAGGAGGAGCGA